UUUUGUUAGUAGUCAGCCGCCCUUGAUCUAUAUAAAAAAGGAAAUGACCGGCCUCGCUCGAUCUUGUUGGUUGGUAGCGAAGUUAUCCAUCCCGACCUCCCCCCUCUAUCCCAAUCUCCACGACCUUCCCCAUGAACGUGCCGCCGCCUGCCCUGCACCCACCGCCGCCGGGAGAUAACUCGCUCCCCCGUGCGCUGCGCCGCCAGGAUACCCGCACCCCAGCCCCACCACCGCUAGCGGCAAUGGAGGGCUCCAAAUCCACGCGCGCCGGGGAAUCACACCGCGGCCCUGCUCAUGUUCUGCUUUUUUUGAUUUCAUGCGCCUCUUUCGCCUCUUUCUUUUUGAUUGGCCGUGACCUUCCUUCUGGGGCUAUCGAUUUGUGAUGCAUGGCAUCUUUCUUCAGAUCUCUAUCUGAGUCUAGGCUGAGUCAUAUCUUAUCCUCUUUUCUUGGCUUGUUGAUUUUGGUAACUUCAAAAGUAUAUAUGUUGCUAGGAUCUCAUGUAAAGAGGCAGUGUGGGACUAAUUAGAAUCUAAAAUUAUAACAUAAUAAGUCUAAUCAAUUUUCUCUCUCUGCCUCCGGGAGGUGAGGGAAGGUGGGGAGAUUGAUUUUUUUUAUUGGCCCAUAAAAAAUCUGGCCCAUUGGACUUACGAAGCUCUCAACGUACAAACCAAACGAAAAACAAACCAGGUCGGACGAACCUACUAUUAGUACCACCUCGGUUAUAUUACAAUUUUGUCUAUACAAAUUAUAAAAAGCAUAUUACGACUGGGCGAAAGCGUAUUGUGACGGUGAACCCACGGAGUCAAUCCAUGCUUUAUUAUUAGGGAAAGAUUUCAAAGUUUUCUUUAUCUCUACUGUGAGUCUUGAAAACGUGUUCAUUUAGUAGAGGGAUGAAUCCAUGCGGGGAUAAUAGUUUUUCACCCGUUUGCAACGGGCAUAUUUUAAUUGUACAAUUUUGAACAAAAUAUUGUAACUUCCACAAUUUUCUUUUUCGGUUCCGGAUUUUAGCUCAUUGUUCAUGUUUUUCCUUUUUAGUGAAACUCUGGUAGACACGACGACAAUUACAUUAUGUUUACACAAUCACAAGAACAAUCAUUAGAGAGGAAAGUAGCCAUUUUUUGCGGGAUGAGUACCAUAUUUGUGACUUUUUAAGAUACGGAGUGCACUAGAUUUUUUUAAUAUUACCUUCCUUUAUCCAUAUUCAUAUAGAACUUUUCAAAAUUGGACACAAGAACGGGCCAUGACCAUUGAUUUAACUUCAAUUUUUUAGUUUCCUACUAUUUUUCUAGCCAAGUGAAAUAUCUCUGAAGCUAUGAAACUUACCUACGCCCAUGACUUGACUCUUUGUUGCAAAUUCUAAAUGAAGUACAAGCAGCCAAUCUUUUUGAAUGAAUUUGCUGAUAGUUUGAAUGGUUAUUCUUCACUAUGGAUGCAUGGCUAUUCUUGGAUUUGAGCCUUAGGCAUGCAUCAAUGAGAAAUAAUUGCAUUGUUUGUUAACUAUUUAAACUGAAAUCAUUCAUCAAUUUUGAUUGGAAAUCUUAUCCCAAUACUUUUGAUACUUUACUUCAAUUUUGAUAACAAAAAUGGUUUCAAAUUGCCAUGUGGAAAAUCAAGUAAGAGCAUAUCCAUGUUUACUUAUUAGUUUGUUUUCUGAGAAUGGUACGGGAUUUACAAACUGAAAAAACAUUAAUCGUUUGAAAAUUAUUUUAAACCAAAAUCGUUUGAAAUUUUUGUUAUGAUAUGUUGUUUGACUGAUUGCAAUGUUGUUUUAGUGGUAAUUUUUUUCAACUUCUAAGCAUAUAUUUAUUUUUUUGUACACCCGGUGCAACGCACGGGCCCUUUUGCUAGUCUAUCCCUAAUAAUAAAGCACGGAUUGACUCCGUGGGUUCACCGUCACAAUACGCUUUCUUCUCAUGUCAUAAUACGCUUUUAUAAUUUGUAUGGACAAAAUAGUAAUAUAAAUGAGGUGGUACUAAUCUACCGUCCGACGCCCGUCUCAAAGUCCAAACAUAACUCCUCCUUCCCCCGCCGUCUUUUAUGCCAACGCAUCCUACCCUCCUCUUGAAACAGGCCUGCACGAAUCCUUCCUCCCUCGCAUGUCCGUCGCCGCCGCCGCCAGCACCGGCCACCUCGCCCCAGGCGCGGGACAGAUCUAGGAAUCAGGAGGGGAUGGACGGAGUAUGGCGAACAGGCCGACGGGGAUGUGCUCUCUCCUCCCGCUACCAAGGCCCGUGGGCGGGGCGCCCGACCUCUAGACGACGGUGGCGAUAACCAAGGACGGAUGUGCAUCCUGGCAUCUCAACUCAAGAUGAUCAAGUGAAAUCUGCAUAGGGUGGUGGCUGGCGGGUUGGACGCGCAGAACUUCGGCGGCGGCCGGAUCCAGGCGAGGGCGACGAGACCUUGCAAGGCGUUGGGGUUCUCCGGGGCGGCACCAUGGUUGCUCCAGCAUGCUCCUGUAAGAAAAGGAGGGAGGACGAGGGAGAGGGAGAGAGAAAACCGGGAGGAAGGAGAGAAACGAGGGGAGUCACGGCAGGGAGCUGUGCUGCUGGUUUCUCCGGUGAAGAGCAGAUAGGGCACGGACGUUCGCGGGAGUGGGCGGCGUUUGGCGACGGAGGCGCUGGUCGGGGAGCGCGUGGUGCGAGCUCCCAGGGGGAGAUGGACGAGGACGAGGACGGUCUGGUGCGCUGCUGGUGCGGGGAGGGCAUGGGAGAGGGACGAUUGCUCUGUAUGUUGUGCGCUGCUGGUGUGCUCCUGUUAGUUGCAUAUUAUACUGCUGCUUUCCUGUUGUUUGUUGAUUGAUUGAUGUUGCUGAUGCUACUACUUUGAUGCAGCAGCUGCUAAUCUCAUGUGGAGGACGCGCAGGGGCGGGCGACGAGCGAAUUGAAUCUGGGAAUUCACCCAGGGAAGCAACAUAUAAUCUUCUGAUCUUUGUCUUGCCUCCAGUGCAAGUUCAGUUUGUCCAGCAGUGCUCUUGACAAAUUUCUAGAAUGAAGAAUGAAAUACUUGGAGAUAGGCUACCAAUUCGUUUGGGGCGUACAAGAAGAGAAAGUGAAUAACUGAAUGCAAUGGCAGGUGUUGAACUGAGGUUUACACACAUUGGUGCACAUGAUGUGUCAAUCAAACAUACUAUAGCCCUCAUAUAAUGGUUGUUGUUGUUUGCAAAGUAAGAAUUGAAUGAUGCAAAGAGAUUUAUGCUGUAGAAGAACUUCCAAGCGUAUCACAUAUAGUAGCAGAGACUCAGCAUGGGGGACUGCCGCUUGAAGAGAUGCAAAUGUUGCAACUUCACCAGAGGUUCUAUGUUGGAGUUCUGUGUGUCAGUGGUUCAAGUUCACAAGGAUUGGCACCAUGGACUGGAGAAUCGUCACAACCAUCGUGGACACACCAGGGGCAGGGGCUGCAUGCAGCCAAGUCCGAGGCGACUGCCAAGAAGACUGGGCUCGAUGUAGUGACCGAGGAGGCGCAUGCCGCAGGAGAAGCCGAUUAUUCUGUUUGCACGACGGGUAUCUAAAAUUCUAAUUCAGACAUUAGUGAUGAUAUAACAAUGUCGUCCGCCAAAUUGUGAUUCGGGCGAGCCUAGCUUAGCUGGGAGCCACCGAAGAUUGUGUGGUGCACGGGAGAUAGAGACUCCACCGGAUAUUUUGUCGUGUCCACUAACAACAACGACAUGGAUAGUGAGCUCACUGCUGGACAUGAUUGCCCUAUUUAUAAUCUGUUGGGUAGUCCUAUUUGGUGGAUUGUAUCUAUAGCAUGUUGAAAGCAAAUGUAACCUCGUUGAUUUUCACAUUACUCUUCAGUAUAUCAGAUCUUUCUCUACAAGGAGCCUACAGUUUGUAAUGUUGUAUUUCUUUUGUGAGACCUCCACGAGCUGUCUAUGAACCAUAUAUGCAGUAGACGUUCCCAUAUGUAUUUAUUCGAUUUUGAAAGGAAUGUUAAAAUUCUUAUGCUCAA